UUGUCUGUACUGCCGUGUCACCCUGUGGUGGCAGCUGAUAUUGCAAGCAAACAGAAAGAAACCUUCAUUUAACAGUUGGGUUCUCCUGGUUGAGCUGCGGGUGCACAAAGUGAAACCUUCACCUUGGCCCUUCCUCACCAAAGGGAAGAUGCAGACAAGAAAGUUUUCUUCACAUAUAAGAAACGGUAAUGCUUCAGCUGGAGUACAUCAGUAAUGCUGCUGGAAACAGUUAUCUUGGAUUCCCCCCAGAUACUUUGGUGAAUGUCUCACAAUCUUCAACUUAAUCUUUCAGCACAGCUUUUCCAGAGCAGUCAGAAAAGAGCAAUGUACUCAUCUUUGCCGUAGUGAGCACAGAAGCCAUGACCUG